rnacentral:rRNA from 1 species
AUUGAACGCUGGCGGCAUGCCUUACACAUGCAAGUCGAACGGUAACAGGUCUUCGGAUGCUGACGAGUGGCGAACGGGUGAGUAAUACAUCGGAACGUGCCUAGUAGUGGGGGAUAACUACUCGAAAGAGUGGCUAAUACUGCAUGAGAUCUACGGAUGAAAGCAGGGGAUCGCAAGACCUUGUGCUACUAGAGCGGCCGAUGGCAGAUUAGGUAGUUGGUGGGAUAAAAGCUUACCAAGCCGACGAUCUGUAGCUGGUCUGAGAGGACGACCAGCCACACUGGGACUGAGACACGGCCCAGACUCCUACGGGAGGCAGCAGUGGGGAAUUUUGGACAAUGGGCGCAAGCCUGAUCCAGCAAUGCCGCGUGCAGGAAGAAGGCCUUCGGGUUGUAAACUGCUUUUGUACGGAACGAAAAGGCUCUGGUUAAUACCUGGGGCUCAUGACGGUACCGUAAGAAUAAGCACCGGCUAACUACGUGCCAGCCGCCGCCGUAA